rnacentral:piRNA from 1 species
UACAUGACAAAAUGAAGGUUGAUAUG